CAGCAGAGCAGGCUCACUCACUCACUGUAAUGUGCACGCAGCUGCAGCACAGCCUCAUUAUACGUAUGUGGAGGCUGGGCUGACUGAACUGUAGGGGGAGCUGCAGAGUCACUUCACCCGGCCAGCUCCUCUCAGGCAGUUCCCAUGGGCCUUUGAGAGUUCAGAGGUCGGGUGAGGAAGUGUUUCUGCAGCAGGUCCGUGUCUGGCAUGCUGGAGGGGGGAUGGCUGAUCGGAGAACUCGGACAGACAGCUCCAGUGAUGAGGAGGGCACAGCUGCGGGCAGCCAGAAAACAAAGAGCCUUAUGUACACCUGGUGUGGAGGUGCAGCCCUGCCCCACCCCCAACCCGAUCGCAGGCCACGCCCAUGUUCCCCUGGACUACGCGGAGAACACCAGAGGAGCGGAACCCAUAACUUCUACUGAGGCUGUCUGUCCGUCCUGUGUGAGCUUGCAUGGAAGGAGCAACGGUGGCUGGGACCCGGGAGCUGCAUUAGAGGAGGUCUAUGUCUGUGACUCCAAGUGGGACUCUAUGGGACUUUCCAUCAUCUGAGGACCAGGAUAGAGACCACAUGCUACUUGGACUUGUCGGUGCCCUUCCUUGUUCAGUGAGAGCCAUUACCCCUGUGGAAGUUGAUUAUAUGUGAUUUUCAGAUUUUCUGAAUGUGAGUGUAACUGUUAAAAUGUGUCCUAAUUUUUAAAUGUUGCACUAAAUUCUUCUCCCCUUGAGUUUUCAUAUGCUCGAGUGGAGGAAGAUAUUUUAAGAAAAAGGACCAAUAUUAAAUAUGUUGGAGGAUUAUGAUGAGCGAGUUUUUACACAUUCUAGAUUAUCUAUUAA